GUAUUGUGGGAAAUAAAUGGCUCUUCCACAAAAAAUUCCACGUCAGCAAGGCUCUUUGAACAAUUCUUUUUGAAAUCGGUUCUAACUACAGCCAGUUAGCAGUUUAAUGUUGAAAUGUAUACUUGCUCUCCUAUAAAGCAGUAUUUCGUUUGCAUUUCAGUGCUGUGAGUCUUGACAAAUUUGGGAAGAGCCCGAGGGAAAUUUUUCAUCCUGAGAUACAGAAGGGACCUGUGAAUUUUAAAUUUGGAGUCCUUUAUGCUAAGGGUGGGCAGCUUACAGAUGAUGAAAUGUUCAGCGAUGUGUGCGUUCCCACAAUUAAGUGGUGUCGAGCUGAAGGGGACUACAAUGGAAUGGUGAUGGAGCCGUUUGGACCGAGUCUUGAAGAUCUCUUCAGUUUUUGUUCAAGGAAAUUUAGUCUCGAGACAGUCCUAUUACUCGCUGACCAAAUGAUUAGUUGAAUUGAAUACGUUCACUCUGAGAACUUCAUCCACUGAGAUGUGAAGCCAGACAACUUCUUAAUGGGCCUUGGGAAGAAAGGCAAUCUUGUCUACAUAAUAGACUCUGGGUUAGCAAAGAAGUAGCGAGACUCUCAAACUCACCAACAUAUCCCAUAUCGUGAAAAUAAAAACUUAGCAGGAACCGCCUGUUAUGCAUCCAUCAACACGCAUCUUGGAAUCAGCGAGC